AAGCGGUGGAUGAUGUGGUUUAAUUCGAUGCAACGCGAAAACCUUACCCACCUUGACAUGGCAGGAAUCCUGAAGAGAUUGGGAGUGCUCGAAAGAGAACCUGCACACAGGUGCUGCAUGGCUGUCGUCAGCUCGUGUCGUGAGAUGUUGGGUUAAGUCCCGCAACGAGCGCAACCCUUGCCAUUAGUUGCUACGAAAGGGCACUCUAAUGGGACUGCCGGUGACAAACCGGAGGAAGGUGGGGAUGACGUCAAGUCCUCAUGGCCCUUAUAGGUGGGGCUACACACGUCAUACAAUGGCCGGUACAGAGGGUAGCCAACCCGCGAGGGGGAGCCAAUCCCACAAAGCCGGUCGUAGUCCGGAUCGCAGUCUGCAACUCGACUGCGUGAAGUCGGAAUCGCUAGUAAUCGCGGAUCAGCAUGUCGCGGUGAAUACGUUCCCGGGUCUU
rnacentral:rRNA from 1 species